ensembl:lncRNA
GUGUAGCAACCGAGGAAACACCUCUUGCUCCAGCUGCCCUCCCCCUCCUCCAAGUCCUCCUCCCCAUUCCCGGUGUGUGACCAUCUUUUAUUCAUGGCCGAGCGGCGCACACGCCGCUGCUUGCCGCCUUCUUGGGAUGCUGGCAUUAAUAUUUCAUCCUGGAGCCAGCUCGUGCUGAAGAGCUCAUGUCCCAGGAAACCCUUUUUGGGGGCCAGCUGCAAUAUUUCCUUUCAAGGGUUCCUUGGGAAGAUAACAGUGGAAAAGCCACGCUCUGACAUGGUGGGUCUGGAACGAAAAGUGAAGGUGUUCCUCUGCAAGCAUCAAAGCAGUUUCAACUUAACCAAAAAUGCUUCUCCUGAAUCACUGGGUCUUUAAAUCGAAAUACCUUCUCAAUAGAUGUAAUAAUGCUGGAGAAAAAGUGAUUGGAAAACAACUCCAUGUCCUCAGUGAUCCUUAUGGGUCCCUUCCAACAUGGGAUGUUCUGUGAUCUACAUGAGUUCCGUAGGAUGGAAGGGGAUGCUGCAUGUGGGAACGGAAGGAGGAACAGUUAUUUGCACAGCUCUUUGAGAUCCUUGAAGGAAAACCCUGGAGAGAUAUAAGGCAUGAAGCAACCACAGCCCCUCCCCAGAUCUGCUGAUAAACAUAGAGAACAGCUGGGACCACGAGCCAAUGGGGAAUCAAUCAUAGGGAUGGACCAGUGAAUGGAGAAGGGGAACCGUAGCUCUACUGUGAGCCAGCGUGGUGCCCUGUGAGAAAUGGAACCCUCCAGCACUGAGCGCUGAGCAGGAGGCGGUGGGAGGCAGAGAGCAGCUGUAGAGGGGAAGAGCCAAAAGUGGAGCUCCAAAAAUGGGGCGAAGGUAUGAGCCACACCAUGGGAUCACCCCCAGCAAUGUGUGGACCACAAGGCAAGGGAAGACCCUUGGAAGAAGCUGGAACACAAACAGAGGAGCAGAAGACAUUAGCAGAGACAGAAAGAAGCUAGC